rnacentral:lncRNA from 1 species
GAACCCUGUUCAUUAUAAUUCAAAGUUUGUGUGACUUGCUACAGCUAAUUGCGGCUAAUCGAUGAGGUCCUUGGCAGAGUGCAAUGGCAACAAUCCUAUUGAUUAUCGUGUGACUUGCUACAGCUAAUAGCAGCUAAUCGAUGAGGUCCUUGGCAGAGUACAAUGGCCAGAAUCCUGUUGACUAUCAUUCAAUGUUUGUGUGACUUGUUGUAGCUAAUCACGGCUAAUCAUUGAGGUGCUGUCACAUCUUGGUUGUGUGUCUGGCUGUGCCAUGGAGAUGGCAAGUGACACCAACACCAGCCGAGCCGGUGUGUGUAUGUUUCUCUCCCAAGUUCUGCAAGGCCAAAUCUAGCUAUUUUAAAUAGGACAAUUAAAUUUCGGACACUCUCCUUCUGAAGAACUAAGAGCUGCUCUCAUCUCUGCCCGGUGCAGGAGGGGCCUGGAGACCAUCGCUGGGAAUGUUACCUUUGCCGCCGGAUGCACCUUCCCCAGGUGUGACUGGUACCGCCCGGCUGAAUGUUUCUCUCCCAAGUUCUGCAAGGCCAAAUCUAGCUAUUUUAAAUAGGACAAUUAAAUUUCGGACACUCUCCUUCUGAAGAACUAAGAGCUGCUCUCAUCUCUGCCCGGUGCAGGAGGGGCCUGGAGACCAUCGCUGGGAAUGUUACCUUUGCCGCCGGAUGCACCUUCCCCAGGUGUGACUGGUACCGCCCGGCUGAAGUGAAAGCUGCAGUACAAGCCGCAGACAUCGCGAUUGUGUGCCUGGGGACCGGAAUUGAUGUGGAGACGGAAGCAGUGGACCGGAAGGGCCUGGACUUGCCGGGCCACCAGCUGGACCUCCUGCAGGAUGUUGUGGCCUGGGCGGCCGGGCAUCCCGUGAUUCUGCUGCUGUUCAACGCAGGCCCCCUCGACGUCAGUUGGGCCAAAGCUCACGACGGAGUGGGAGCCAUCUUGGCCUGUUUCUUUCCUGCUCCAGCCAC